AGCCUGAGCUGGAAAUUCACACUGGCCGGUCUAUUGUUUCUGUCGUUUCUUGCAUACAUCAGAUAGGAGAACCAGAACUACCCCACAGCUGUGGUUCCUUGGCCUCCUCCUCUCCUUCCCUGUUUUAUCACACUAUCACCUUCCUCUAGAGUCAUGUCCAUUUCCAGAGGAGUCAAAACAGCCCUGCAGACCUCAAAUGGAGGGGUGGGUCCUGAUCGAUCAGAGUCAGUCUAGUCUACAGCCCGGGUUCCUUUUCCCUCUGAGACCAGAAAGUGGGAAGAAGUGAUGGAGAGGAGCUGACAGCCGUGCCUUUUCUUUCUCCUGCCAAGCUGCGAAGCCAGCCAAGCCCUGCCAGCUUCCCUAGCUCUGGGGGAGGAGGAGGAGGCGGCCUCUUGCUCAGGGGAGCUGUCACCAGCCUGCAAGCCCACUGUCCUAGCCACACUGUGAAACUGGAGGUGGCACCUCCCACAGCAGCUUCAGCAGAACCCAGGGACGCCACCAGAGGCAUGAAGUGUGUGAACCUCCGGCCCGAGGGGAGAGCUGAGGAGGCGGGCAGACACGGCAAGAGGGAUCUUAAGCAGCAGCCGCCUCUGGAUUUACAGACCUGACUGCUUUCUGGCCCCAGGCGGAAGGAAUUUGAUCUGGCGGUUCCCUGGACUCGGGUGGGACCGGAACUGUCUCACAGCUGCCAGCGCUCCCCACCCCCAUGAGAACCACCAUGCUGAAGAUGAAAAGCCAAAGCCAGACUGACCAGCCUCUGCAACCCCAAGCAUCACCGUGUGAGGACAGCGUGGUGUGGAGCCGUGGGGACCCCACGCAGUGCUGCGAGGGGCGACCACAUGCAGGGGCAGAGGUGUGGGGGAGCAAGCAGAUGCCACCAGCAUGCCUGGGAGCCACAGGGAGCAUGCGGGCUGCGCAGUGAUGGGAAUGAACGUGAACUCCAGUCCUGCCCCAAGAAGUCCUCCGGCCCCUCCUCCUCAAUUCAGGGCACAAAGUGGAAACUGCAGCGCGCAGAGGAGUCAAGGAGUCUUCCCUCGUCCCAGGAGCAGCACCGCAGGCACAGUCUCGAUCCCAUGGAACAGCCAAGUGUGGGUUGGUGGUCCAGAGACCUCCGAAGAUCCAGGGGGGAGGGAUGGGCAGCAAAGGGUCUACUCUCUGAAAAUAAGGGGAAGGGAUUUGCCCUCCCCACUGCCAAGGUCCCAGCUCUGGACGUGGGUGGUAGUGGCAGUUUCACCCCUAGCCUGAGGCCUGGUCUUUCUUGUUCUAGGAGGCCCUCCAGAUCAUCUGCCUGAGCAGCCUCUGUCCCCAGGGACCUUCAAGGGCUGGCAGUUGUGUCCAGCCCCCUCUAGCCUCUGUCCAGGGACUGCAACCUUUUUCUGCAAACAGCCAGAUACUAUUUAGAUUUGGGGGAGUGUACGGUCUCUGCUGCCGUGACUCACCUCGGCCACUGUGGCACAAAGGGGCACAGACCACAGGAAAAUGGGUGUUGCUGUUCCUGCCACGCUGGGUUGACACAGGCAGGUGGGGGAUCAGAGGUGGCCCGGCUGUCGUCUGCUAAUCCUUGCCCUGAUCAUAAGAACCUGUCUGUCUCACAGCUUGGGAGCACGGACCGCUGUCAGGGUAUCUGCUGUGCACUGUGCAGAAGCUGCCUCACCUUCUCAGGGUGAGACCCAAGGCUGCAGGGUGACGACAUCCACAUUCCCAAAGCCUGAGGUCCUGGGGUGACAGUUCUCCCAGCCUUGCAAGGGGGCACUAGCACCCCAGCCCACCGGCCCAUUAGGCCGCCUCUGGGAACUCAGGGACUUAAGUCCCCUCCAGGAACCUCUGCCCCCAGGUGGGGCCUUUUCUGCCAGUGAUUCCUCGUGCUUGAGAAGAAUGAGAAAGGCUCAGGUGGGAAAUGUAUUAAUCGGUUAUGAAGGCGAUGGAGGAGGGGAGGUUGAGGCCGCGUCAGUUGUGUUGGGGGCACGUUAGCACGCAGUAGGAGGGGAGCGCCACUAGUCUAAGAAAUCAGUGUCCUUACCAAAAGGAUUUGCAAGAAUAUUUGUGGCUCAGGACCUAAGGAACUUGCUACAGGGAAGUGAGGUCAGAGGUCAGCUCAAUCCUGAAAUAUAAAUGCAGCAAACCUGGUCAUGCCAACAGGCAGCAUCCUCAGCACCUGAGGACUUGGGGCUCCUGCCAGGGCUCUUCCUCCUGGCUGUGCUUACACUGCCCGCCCCCCACCCAGCCCGGGUGAAGAGCCUUCCUGCUGAGGGUCGAGAGAGCUGAUGCCAGCACCGGGAGGGGAGACAGGGCCUGUCACCAGCAGAGCAGCUCUGAGGUUAGGGGGCUGCCUGGUGGGUGGCCUCGCAAGCAGGCAUGAAAGGGAGGUUGAGUUCUGAUUCCAAAAUCAUAAACCUCCCCCCCCGCUCAGACCCUAGACUGCUGGCUUCUGCUGACAAGUAGGGUUAACUCCCACGAGCUGCUCUGGGUCACCAGGCUUGGAAAGUGGCACAGCUACCACCUAGGACCCCAGGCCAUGCUGCAGAAGGGCAGCAAUGUGGGUGAGCACCAGGAGCCUGCUGGGCCUGGUGCAAACAACUGUCCCUCUGCAAAUGACCGUCCGUCUGCCGAGGCCUCCCCAGCCGUCCCGCUGCACCCAGCGCGCCCCUUCCCCACCCGGCAGGAUGGAGUGGAGGGAAAAUGUGGAGGGGAGCCCAGUGGGUGUGCAGGGGGUAUCCAGAUGGGAAGGGGGAGCCAGUUCCAACAACAAGAAGCCACAGCUGCACCGCCCGGAGCUACAAGGCGCUGCUGCAGGCGCCAGCCUGGGAGGCCGCUGAAUGAUGGGCACCAAGAAUCCGCUGUGUCCCGAAGGAGAAAUCAAGAAAUCAGCUCUGCUGGGGACUCCGUGUGUGAGUGACAGCCAGGUUUAAAAAGGAAGACCUCGAGCAGAGGCCGCAUCCGGCUGUCAGAGACAUCUUCUCGCCCCAGCGCCUAUACCCCUCUCAUUCCACCGCUUUCCCUUCAAUCCUACAGCGAGACAGCCACAGAGAAAGCAGUCCCGCUCCUAGUCCACGGCUGUCUCCAGACGCCGCGUCAGUGGGUCCUCUCGGCUACUGAGCUCAGAGGUAACAGCUCUGGCAAGCAGAGCACAGCUCAUCUCGGAACACGCCCCGCGCCUGCCUGCGUGUGGGGAGGCUUGCGUCGUCCCCCCAACCCCUGUGGCUAUUGGAAAUCAGAAAACACGCAUCCAGGCAGCCCACAGCGGCCAGGCCAGGGAUGCGGGAUUUGCCACGGCGGGUUUGACUUGUGUACUGCUGAAGAGGCAGAGCCUGAUUGGCCAGUCCCCGAGGGCAGACACCCCAUCGCUGCCUGCAAAAAAGAGACAGAUCUUGAGGCCUGAAGAGGGCACAUGGACGGGUAGGUGGCGGGCACAGGGGAAGCCAGGACCUGUGGCCUGGAGUGGACACAGGCUCUGGGCGCAUGAGCCAUGGUGAGGAGAGAAAAGCUGACCUCCCAGAGGGAAAAGCCUCGUGGGGGAGCAACCUCGUGGUUCCUGAAUCCAGCAAGUAUCGGGCAGAGCUGGCUGGCCUCUUAUCGACCUCCACUAACUAAAGGACCCAGUGAGGGAGGUGUAGAGAGAUCCUGGGCUGCUAUUCCGGAAGUGCUGCCCUCUCUGUCCCUCCACAUCCUGUCCAACAGCCUGAGAAGCCAGGCCCCUCCCCUCUAGCUUGCAGCCCUCAUGCUACCAGAUAGGCUGAUGCAGACCGACGGGGAGGCGGGGGGCUCUCACGGUGAGAGGGAGAAGGUUCUAGAUGUGAAUUCAGAACCCAAACAUCUGGCUGGGUGCACUGGCUCACGCCUGUAAUCCCAGCACUUUGGGAGGCCGAGGCAGGUGGAUCACUUGAGGCCAGGAAUUCAAGACCAGCCUGGGCAACAUGGUGA